GCAUCCGGACGACCGGAUGACUGACCAACACGCAGGACGACCUGC
rnacentral:ncRNA from 1 species